rnacentral:rRNA from 1 species
AACGAACGCUGGCGGCAUGCCUAACACAUGCAAGUCGAACGAGACCUUCGGGUCUAGUGGCGCACGGGUGCGUAACGCGUGGGAACUUGCCCUUAGGUUCGGAAUAACUCCCCGAAAGGGGUGCUAAUACCGGAUAAUGUCUUCGGACCAAAGAUUUAUCGCCUUUGGAUGGGCCCGCGUUGGAUUAGCUAGUUGGUAGGGUAAAAGCCUACCAAGGCGACGAUCCAUAGCUGGUCUGAGAGGAUGAUCAGCCACACUGGGACUGAGACACGGCCCAGACUCCUACGGGAGGCAGCAGUGGGGAAUAUUGGACGGUGGGCGAAAGCCUGAUCCAGCAAUGCCGCGUGAGUGAUGAAGGCCUUAGGGUUGUAAAGCUCUUUUACCCGGGAUGAUAAUGACAGUACCGGGAGAAUAAGCUCCGGCUAACUCCGUG